GGGCUAUCAACCACUCAGCCAUCUCUCCCAAAUAGAAUCUCUAUUUUCUUCCUACGAAUAGAACAUGUCGACUCCAUGUCCAAAUAAAAAA
rnacentral:tRNA from 4 species